AAUCAGAAGGAUUGUGUUGGUAUUUCUAG
rnacentral:piRNA from 1 species